GCUUAUGCGUUGUUGGGUAGGGGAGCGUUCUGUAAGCCUGUGAAGGUGGCCUGUGAGGGUUGCUGGAGGUAUCAGAAGUGCGAAUGCUGACAUAAGUAACGAUAAAGCGGGUGAAAAGCCCGCUCGCCGGAAGACCAAGGGUUCCUGUCCAACGUUAAUCGGGGCAGGGUGAGUCGACCCCUAAGGCGAGGCCGAAAGGCGUAGUCGAUGGGAAACGGGUUAAUAUUCCCGUACUUGGUGUUACUGCGAAGGGGGGACGGAGAAGGCUAUGUUGGCCGGGCGACGGUUGUCCCGGUUUAAGCGUGUAGGUGUGUGUUCCAGGUAAAUCCGGUUCACUUUAACACUGAGGCGUGAUGACGAGGCACUACGGUGCUGAAGUAACAAAUGCCCUGCUUCCAGGAAAAGCCUCUAAGCAUCAGGUAACAUCAAAUCGUACCCCAAACCGACACAGGUGGUCAGGUAGAGAAUACCAAGGCGCUUGAGAGAACUCGGGUGAAGGAACUAGGCAAAAUGGUGCCGUAACUUCGGGAGAAGGCACGCUGACAC
rnacentral:rRNA from 4 species